GGGAGCACGUCUCCUCUCAUGAGCCGGUCACCAGCACCCUCCGUGAGCCACGCGUCACACACAAAGCUGCACAGUCUGCGUGAGCAGGCAUGUGGGCAUGCCUCCCACGAACCGGGGCCGUGGUCCACACAGAGCAUGGUCCUCUUGCUGCUCCUGCAGUCACAGCCCGCGUGCCGUCAGGACAGGGUCGUUGCGAGCGGAGCUGAUGCUGUUCUUGGCCGACAAGCGGGAGAGAGUCAUGGCAGCAUUGAGAAUAGGCUGUGCCAGAUGGAGGCCCAACUGGAGGAGAAGAACAAGGAGCUGCACCUACCCCACUUGGGCAGUGCCCUGGACCUCAAGUUCCUGGUGGCAGACCGGCCGGCAGACUACUCAGGAGAUGGGGCAGUGCUGCGAUGCCUCCAGAAAGGCCAGCUGGCAGCGCUGCAUGAUGAGCCACCAGAAGCAAGGACCCCGCUGCCCCCUUCCCGUCCCUGGUGGGCACCUUGUGAGGCACCUGCCCCCUCACACUGUGCUCCUGAGAGUUCCCGAUUCCCAGUGGAAAAGACUUGAGGCACUGACGUGCAUCUCUGCCCUGAGAGCAGGGGAGGUUGAUCGAAGAAGAGAAGGAGAACACGGAGCAGAGGGCCGAGGAGACUGAGAGCAGGGAGGGCAGGGGGAGCUUAGGCAGCCUCCGUCGUUUUAAAUCAGUGAGCUCCCUCAACCUGCUUCCCGCCUCCUUGCAUACUGGCUCCUGUCUGCUCCUGCCCAAGCCCAAAAGGAGGUGGCACAGCCCGGCACAGGAGUGAGACCGGCUGGGCAUCAUGACUCUGGUAUGUUUCUGCCUCCUCCCUGCCGCAUCCCUCCCCCAGCAAACUGGUUUUUUUGUUUGUUUGUUUUUUCUCUUUAUACCCAGAAGAAAAUCAAGUACAUUUGCUACACUCAGAGGUUUAAAAGUUUUUAAACUGCCUAGUCUUUAAUCAUUCCACAAUGGCACAGCAAUAAAUUAGUCUUGAUAUUUGGACCA
rnacentral:lncRNA from 1 species